UUUAAUUGUCUCAGUCCAAUUAUAUGUUUUUUAUUUUAUUAUCCAUUUUUUUUUCUGCAGCUGAAAUUUUUAAAUAACUAAAUUAAUCCAGAAGAACUCCAGCGCAUGGAGCUCAUUUUGUGUCCAUGAUUGGACACAAGCCGAUCAGACCACGCCCUCCCCGUGGAGGCUUGAUAUUUACAUCCGUGGAAGUGGACCAACUAUUAACGACAACAAGACAUUCUGGUGGCCUUUAAACUCAUAGACGCACGGGAUGUGGGUGGAAAGCUCACGCAUCUAAUUUGUUUCGUUUUCAUUUUUGUAAUGUAUUUCACCAAGACCGACGGACACAAGAUUUUUAAACAAGGGUAGCAGAGGAGAAAAGCAGCUUCUCUUGUAAAAUGUUCGGCUUAAUGGCUGUACAACGGGAAGAAUCGUCCAUUCAGAAAGCAGCAUCACCCUUCAAUCAUGCCUCCAGGAAAGCUGCUCUGACCGUCAGCGUUGCAGGAACAUAUCGCGAUGACUUCCUUCGUGCAACCGCCUUGUUCCUUUUGUUAAGCGCCUCCUGCUCUGCUUUUUUGUCAUCGCAUCUCAUUGUGGAUUAUGACGCUUCUGGGAAAGAUUGGCUUUUCAGCUGAACUGAGAAAUGAAAGGUCUUUGAUAGAAAAACAAUUAGUUUCAAAGCUAAAAUAUUUUUUUAUGUCAUUGAGUUUGAUUUUGGCAAAGGUAAUAAAUUAUGUCAUGUUACUAAUGCAUGCUGCCAAGUUAUUGUUGCAACUACUAAUAAUGUGAAAAAAAAAAGUUAGAAAUGUGCUUGCUUAUUAUAAAAUGUUAUUUUUGUAUGCAGAUGUAAAAAAAAAAAAGAAGAGAUGAGGCCACACAACCUAAUCCAAAGAAAUUUGCACAGCAAUUAAUUUACAUCAUGUUUUAAGGAGGUUUCAAUGUAAUGAAGUUAUUUAUUUAUAAUUUUUUUGUAAUAUGAUGAAUAAAGUUUCUGGUUUUCCUCACCUUAUAAAACUUAUGCUUUUGAAUUUGAACACAACAAUUAUGCAAUAAUAUUUACUGUAAACCUUGUUUUUAUCUGCAUUAAAAAUGCCUUGAUAUUCCUGUAAAAUAUCAAAUUAUGCACCCGAUGUUCUGUGGAGUUUCUGUGAUAUUAUUUGUUUUACAAUGAGCCAAAAUCCACGUGACCCCUUUGGAUGUUCGUGUUCUGUGACGGGGAUAAUCACUAAAAAAGGAAAUAAAGUUCUUCAAACCAG